rnacentral:rRNA from 1 species
UACGUAGGGGGCAAGCGUUUGUCCGGAUUUACUGGGCGUAAAGAGCGUGUAGGCGGCCAAGCAGGUCCGUUGUGAAAACUGGAGGCUUAACCUCCAGACGUCGACGGAAACCGCGCGGCUAGAGUCCGGAAGAGGAGAGUGGAAUUCCUGGGUGUAGCGGUGAAAUGCGCAGAUAUCAGGAAGAACACCAAUGGCGAAGGCAGCUCUCUGGGACGGUACUGACGCUGAGA